rnacentral:rRNA from 1 species
CGUAACACGUGAGCAACCUGCCCCGAAGACUGGGAUAACACCGGGAAACCGGUGCUAAUACCGGAUGCCCUCUUCUGAUCGCAUGGUCGGAUGAGGAAAUGGAUUCCGCUUCGGGAUGGGCUCGCGGCCUAUCAGCUUGUUGGUGAGGUAAUGGCCCACCAAGGCGACGACGGGUAGCUGGUCUGAGAGGACGACCAGCCACACUGGGACUGAGACACGGCCCAG